UGUAACAAUCUCAAGCUUUUGGCUCUUCAAUGAAUAUUGGUGUUGCUACAUUCUUGUGUUGAUCUUGUGCUCAAAUCUGAUAUCCAAGGGUGGAGGCUAGAACCAAUUAAGAUGAAAGAAGGUUGCUGGGGGAGAUUUAGUUGGCUAAAAAAGGUCCACCUUCACUCUGACAGUUCAUCUUCAAACGCUAUCUUGCGUACCUCUGUUAUGAAUUCUGACCCUAAUUAUGUUCUUUAUUUGCAAUCUAUGAUCAUAUUGAUUCUUCAAUUCUACAAUGAAUGAUUGAAGGUCUGCUUUGACUUUUGUAUAAGGAGUAGGUGAGAAAAGGUUGGGUUGGCUAAUAAGUUAGAAUAGAUACUUUUGUAUAAGUGUCGGCUAUCGGCUUGCGCUGUUUGUAAACGUCUGUUUGUAAUAUUGUAUAUUGUAAUAAUACUCAUUGUUUUAAUAGUUUGUUCAAUAAAAGGUAACUUGUGCCAGACUAAUGAAAGAAUGAAACUGUCCCAAAAUGGGAGCCGGAAUGUGAUGUUCCAAUCCUUUAAUAUGUAUUUAUCAGACCUUAUGAUACUGUUGUGUUUUUGUUGUUUCAGAUAAAGCUAACUGCAAAGAGGAGGUAGCACUUGAGCUUCGUGCAAGUCAGGAAGCACUUCAAAAUCUUCAAUCCAGUGGAAAAUUUUUCAAGCUAGAGACUAUAAACAAGUUAGAAGGCACUAAAUGUGACAACAAAUGAAGUUGUUGAUGCACUUAAAAGGAGGGUGAAAAUGGAUGCACAUGACCCGACUCAAAAGGAAAUGAGCACGAAGAAAAAUGAGCGUAGAGUAAAUUAGGCAGAAUAUGAGAAACUGGUGGGCUAUGAGUAAAAUGCCAUGCUGAGAUAGGCAACUGAAGCCAUGAGGACACACUCCUACUCUGCCACCGGAGCCACUGGCCAUCCAUCCUAUGGAGAGCCACCAGAUGUUGGCCUUGCCGAGACAUAGCUGGGGCGCCUGCUGAAACUAUUGUGGAAGGGAUUCUUGGUUCUGGUCUCAAUGGGUUAUGAUCAAAAUAGAAUAUCAGAUCAUUCGGGAUAUUAGGGACGACGCUUGGGUUCUUCUUCUACGGCGAUAGCAGAGGGCGACAAAGCAGGGGAUUCCGCCGGCGAUUCUUCUGUCGGCGACUCUCCGGCGACAUACAGCAGCGAUUCCGGCACAACAGCGAUUCCGGCACAGCGGCGAUUCCGGCACAACAACGACUCCGGCACAGCAGCGAUUCUUUUGUAGAUUGGAUUGAUUCAAGAUGGAAGAUGAUAAUAUAGAUGCACCAACAUGGGAGAACAUGGCUCAAUCACCAACACUUGAGCCAAAUGUUUUUCAAAUAACAUCCAAGUGUAAGAUAAAAUUAAAAUAUGGAGGCUGCUUUCGAUUAGCUAAGAACUCGGCUAGGAAAUGGUAUUGUUUUGGUUAUCAAAAAUGUAUUUACAUUGAUACAUACUCAUACAACUUUGAUGAUUUAGUUGAAGAGGUUACAAAUCAUUAUCCACCAAAUAGGGAUCUCGUUUACUCUAUUUAUUUCGUUGACAAGUAUGCCAUAGAUCAAUCUAUUAUAAAGCUUGAUUCUCAUGAGAAAUUUGAGUUUAUGAUUAGAAUGUAUGAAGUGGAAAAAGAACUUGUCGUUUAUGUGACAACGAAUAGUAAUCAUGAGACUUCUUCAGUUAAUCAAAGGGGUCAAGAUGAAGUGGGUGACGAACCACACAGUGAAGAUGAAUCAGAGUAUUCAUUAAGUGAUGAAAGCUAUCAUAGUUAUUAUAGUAGUGAUGAUGAAGUUGAGGAACAUAACUCCCAAGAGGAAACUUAUUUUUCCAUGUUAUAUGUAGAAUUUGGGCGAGUACGGAGUUUGUAGAAGUAGUGAAAAUCGAGCUGAAGUGAAACGCGGCGAAAAGCGUUGGGAUGUCGUACUCGAUGAGCAAAUGUACUUGUCGGGUUUGGCAAGUUAAAGGUAUUCCAUGUCUACAUACAACUGCUUUUAUUGCUUUCACAAGGGAUGUAAAUUGGGAGAAGUUUGUUGAUUCUUAAUUCACUAUUGAGAAAAUUAAAUCGGCUUAUGCUCUAGAAGUUGCUCCGAUGCCUACAAAGGAUCAAUGGGUGCAUGUAGAUGAUGAGGAGAAGAUAUACCCACCUAUUAUCAAACGGCCACCCGGAAGACUAAGAAAGGAGAGAAUUAGAGCAAAUGAUGAGCAAAGAAAAAAAUAUAAGUGCCACCGGUGUGGUGGGUAUGAUCACCAACAAAAAAAAUGCAAAAAAUCGGCAUCGCAAGAUCAACCAUCAACAAGUAAACGGGGAAAAAGAACAAAAACAUGUGAAAAUAACUAAUCAAAGUCGAGCAAUUUACUUUUUUGGUACCAAAUGGUGAAAACUUUGGCAUUUGUCUUUUUCAUUUUUUGGAUAUUGUUACAUGAAAUUUUUGUGGUUGUUCUUUUGGGAUGAUUUUUUGGUACCGUAAUGGAUUAAAGUUUUGGCA